UAAGCUCGUGAUCAACAGGCAGAA
ensembl:miRNA mir-231 ncRNA